rnacentral:rRNA from 1 species
AGGACGAACGCUGGCGGCGUGCUUAACACAUGCAAGUCGAGCGGUAAGGCCUUUCGGGGUACACGAGCGGCGAACGGGUGAGUAACACGUGGGUGAUCUGCCCUGCACUCUGGGAUAAGCCUGGGAAACUGGGUCUAAUACCGGAUAUGACCUGCUCUCGCAGUGGGGGUGGGUAGGAAAGUAUUUUAGUCGGU